rnacentral:misc_RNA from 1 species
UCCAUCUUAACGAUGGCAGUCUCUCUAGAGUGCCCAACUUAAUGCUGGCAACUAAAGAUAAGGGUUGCGCUCGUUGCGGGACUUAACCCAACAUCUCACGACACGAGCUGACGACAGCCAUGCAGCACCUGUCUCACUGUCCCUUUCGGGCCGUCUAUAUCUCUAUAGAUUUCAGUGGAUGCCAAACCCAGGUAAGGUUUUUCGCGUUGCAUCGAAUUAAACCACAUUCUCCACCUCUUGUGCGGGCCCCCGUCAAUUUCUUUGAGUUUUAAUCUUGCGACCGUACUCCCCAGGCGGGAUACUUAACGCGUUAGCUGCGGCACUGAAGGGGUCAAUACCUUCAACACCAAGUAUCCAUCGUUUACAGCGUGGACUAC